GCUGGCGGCAGGCUUAACACAUGCAAGUCGAGCGGGCGUAGCAAUACGUCAGCGGCAGACGGGUGAGUAACGCGUGGGAACGUACCUUUUGGUUCGGAACAACCCAGGGAAACUUGGGCUAAUACCGGAUAAGCCCUUACGGGGAAAGAUUUAUCGCCGAAAGAUCGGCCCGCGUCUGAUUAGCUAGUUGGUGAGGUAAUGGCUCACCAAGGCGACGAUCAGUAGCUGGUCUGAGAGGAUGAUCAGCCACAUUGGGACUGAGACACGGCCCAAACUCCUACGGGAGGCAGCAGUGGGGAAUAUUGGACAAUGGGCGCAAGCCUGAUCCAGCCAUGCCGCGUGAGUGAUGAAGGCCCUAGGGUUGUAAAGCUCUUUUGUGCGGGAAGAUAAUGACGGUACCGCAAGAAUAAGCCCCGGCUAACUUCGUGCCAGCAGCCGCGGUAAUACGAAGGGGGCUAGCGUUGCUCGGAAUCACUGGGCGUAAAGGGUGCGUAGGCGGGUCUUUAACUCAGGGGUGAAAUCCUGGAGCUUAACUCCAGAACUGCC
rnacentral:rRNA from 1 species